UAGACAUACUAUAUAAUAUAACAUUCCGUAGCAAUUUAAUUUUGGACUAACAAAAUUUUCAAUUGAUUCUGAAGCCGCCACGUAAGCAAAAUUAGUAUUCUAAUCAUGACAACUCAGCAUAGCACUUUUUUAGUUAGUACAAACUACAUGUUAUAACUUUUUAAAUGUUUCUCUAUUAAUAGAUAGGAGAUUGUCAAAAUUUGAACCUAUAAAUUUUUGUUCUAAAUGAAUGCCGUAAAUCUGUAUUUUUAUCUUCUUUUGUUUGAAUUUACCAUAUAUGACUGACUAUUAGUUAAUCUAUCUAUGUUUUGGAGUUCUGUUUGGUUAAAACUUAAUUAGCUGUUUAUAAUUAGAAAUAUUGAAAUGAUUAAGAUUGUUUUAAUCCUAUUUAUAGUGCAUUCUAUGUAACACUUCACUAUCUUAAAGUUAUUUGAUCAAGUGUACUUUCCAAUAAUGAAUAUUACAAAAUGGUGGUUCCCGGUUUAAUUGAAGCUUCUUUACCGGUUAAAUAGAAUAACGAUGAAAACAGCGGCGUAUAAUACAGCACAUGACUGACACAUGCUCUACAAACCGGACGUGUGACACAUUGUUAUUAGGGCCUUCAUUAUUAUAAACCUUGUUUGAAAACGCGGUCGCCUUGCCUUCUAAUUCGGAGGUUGACCACGGCGAAUAUGACUAAAUCGGUGAAGCAAGGCGUUGACCCGCGCCUUGAUCUGUGUUGAUACAGUUCUAUUUUCCGAUGGUUGUCGCUACGCUUGCUGAAUUUGGAAUGAACUUGAAGGAUACUGUCAUUGAGGAUAUAAUCGACAAGACCUUUGAGGAAGCAGACACAAAACAUGAUGGAAAGAUCGAUAAGGAAGAUUGGAGAAGCCUUGUUCAUAGACAUCCCAGCCUUCUCAAGAACAUGACUCUUUAGUAUCUCAAGGAUAUCACGACUACGUUUCCAAGCUCUGCGUUCCAUUCUCAGGUUGAAGAUACCUGAAGAUUAACAAAGGCAAGCAGCAAGACUUUAUGUUUUUUUUUGUUCAUUUGUUUCAUUGAGCUUUUUUUGUGAAGCAAUAUACAUAAUUCAUUUGUUUCUCUCAACUCCUAUGUUUUUAUUGAGUUUUGUUUUUGUGAAGCAAACUUCAUUCGAUUUUGCAUCUUUGAUCAGGACUAUUUGUAGAUACAACGUUUGCAUCUUGAUAUGAUAUAUAAAGUUUUAUGUUUAUUUGAUCCAACCAAGUAAAUUAAAGGGCGUUUACUUCAAUCUGUGUUU